rnacentral:rRNA from 1 species
GGUGACGGCCAAGCUUGCUUGGUCUGAUCAGUGGCGAACGGGUGAGUAACACGUGAGUAACCUGCCCCUUACUCUGGGAUAAGCCUUGGAAACGAGGUCUAAUACCGGAUAUGAGACGUACAGGCAUCUGUUGCGUCUGGAAAGAUUUAUCGGUGAGGGAUGGGCUCGCGGCCUAUCAGCUUGUUGGUGGGGUGAUGGCCUACCAAGGCGACGACGGGUAGCCGGCCUGAGAGGGCGACCGGCCACACUGGGACUGAGACACGGCCCAGACUCCUACGGGAGGCAGCAGUGGGGAAUAUUGCACAAUGGGCGCAAGCCUGAUGCAGCGACGCCGCGUGAGGGAUGACGGCCUUCGGGUUGUAAUAACUCUUUCAGCAGGAAGAAGCGCAAGUGACGGUACUGCAGAAGAAGCGCGCUAACUACGUGCCAGCAGCCGCGGUAAUACGUAGGGCGCAAGCGUUGUCCGGGAAUUAUUGGGCGUAAAGAGCUCGUAGGCGGUUUGUCGCGUCUGCUGUGAAAACUAAGGCUCAACCUUGGGCUUGCAGUGGGUACGGGCAGACUAGAGUGCGGUAGGGGUGACUGGAAUUCCUGGUGUAGCGGUGGAAUGCGCAGAUAUCAGGAGGAACACCGAUGGCGAAGGCAGGUCACUGGGCCGCAACUGACGCUGAGGAGCGAAAGCAUGGGGAGCGAACAGGAUUAGAUACCCUGGUAGUCCAUGCCGUAAACGUUGGGCACUAGGUGUGGGGCUCAUUCCACGAGUUCCGUGCCGCAGCAAACGCAUUAAGUGCCCCGCCUGGGGAGUACGGCCGCAAGGCUAAAACUCAAAGAAAUUGACGGGGGCCCGCACAAGCGGCGGAGCAUGCGGAUUAAUUCGAUGCAACGCGAAGAACCUUGCCAAGGCUUGACAUACACCGGAAAAGUGCAGGGAUGUGCUCCCCGUAAGGUCGGUGUACAGGUGGUGCAUGGUUGUCGUCAGCUCGUGUCGUGAGAUGUUGGGUUAAGUCCCGCAACGAGCGCAACCCUCGUCCUAUGUUGCCAGCGGGUCAUGCCGGGGACUCAUAGGAGACUGCCGGGGUCAACUCGGAGGAAGGUGGGGAUGACGUCAAAUCAUCAUGCCCCUUAUGUCUUGGGCUUCACGCAUGCUACAAUGGCCGGUACAAAGGGCUGCGAUACCGCGAGGUGGAGCGAAUCCCAAAAAGCCGGUCUCAGUUCGGAUUGGGGUCUGCAACUCGACCCCAUGAAGUCGGAGUCGCUAGUAAUCGCAGA